CUGUGUAUGUGUGUGGUGUCCUACCCAGGAGAGUGGCAAUCACAUAUAAUUAGGUGUGAUUGAAACCUCUAAGAGUGUAGUACACAUGACAUGUACU